rnacentral:lncRNA from 1 species
GAAGUAUGACACACUUUCUUAAUGUUUACAUUUUUAACAUCCGAAAUGUGUUCCGAGUCGAUGACCGUUUCAUAUAAUACUCAUUUUCAUUUAGACUAACUUGCGAUGGUACGUACGUUGUCGUAGAAUUCAUUGUAUCAGACAAUCACUUGAAAAUACUUCAUGAGUCAACUGUACCAGGGACGGAUCCAGCCAUUUAAAAAAAAGGGGGGGGGGUCCUUACCCAGGAGAAAGGGGGAGUUCCAACUACAUGUCCCCAUUCAAAUGCAUUGAUCGUCCAAAAAAAGGGGGUUCCAAUCCCCGGAACUCACACCCCCUCCUUCCCCCUGGAUCCGCGCCUGUGAAUCCCUAGAAAUUAAACAAUUAUAGUAUUUUUAAAAUACGAAC